rnacentral:rRNA from 1 species
UACGUAGGGUGCAAGCGUUGUCCGGAAUUAUUGGGCGUAAAGGGCUCGUAGGCGGUCUGUCACGUCGGGAGUGAAAACUCGGGGCUUAACCCCGAGCCUGCUUCCGAUACGGGCAGACUAGAGGUAUGCAGGGGAGAAUGGAAUUCCUGGUGUAGCGGUGAAAUGCGCAGAUAUCAGGAGGAACACCGAUGGCGAAGGCAGGUCUCUGGGCAUUAACUGACGCUGAGGAGCGAAAGCGUGGGGAGCGAACAGG